UACGUAGGGUGCAAGCGUUGUCCGGAAUCAUUGGGCGUAAAGAGCGUGUAGGCGGCUCGAUCAGUCUGCUGUAAAAGCCAGGGCUCAACCCUGGGAUGCCGGUGGAUACUGUCGAGCUAGAGUCCGGAAGAGGCGAGUGGAAUUCCUGGUGUAGCGGUGAAAUGCGCAGAUAUCAGGAGGAACACCAAUGGCGAAGGCAGGUCUCUGGGCUGACACUGACGCUCAUGCACGAAAGCGUGGGGAGCAAACAGG
rnacentral:rRNA from 1 species